rnacentral:rRNA from 1 species
GCGUGGGGGAUGAAGGUCUUCGGAUCGUAAACCCCUGUUGAGAGGGGCGAAGGCUCGAGAGCGAACAGUUCUCGAGCUUGACGGUACCUCGAGAGGAAGCCCCGGCUAACUCUGUGCCAGCAGCCGCGGUAAUACAGAGGGGGCGAGCGUUAUUCGGAAUUAUUGGGCGUAAAGGGCGCGUAGGCGGCCGAGCAAGUCUUGGGUGAAAUCCCUCGGCUCAACCGAGGAACUGCCUUGGAAACUGCUCAGCUUGAGGCCGGGAGAGGGUGGUGGAAUUCCCAGUGUAGCGGUGAAAUGCGU